UACGUAGGGUGCAAGCGUUAAUCGGAAUUACUGGGCGUAAAGCGUGCGCAGGCGGUUGUGCAAGACAGAUGUGAAAUCCCCGGGCUCAACCUGGGAAUUGCAUUUGUGACUGCACGGCUAGAGUGUGUCAGAGGGGGGAUGGAAUUCCGCGUGUAGCAGUGAAAUGCGUAGAUAUGCGGAGGAACACCGAUGGCGAAGGCAAUCCCCUGGGCCUGCACUGACGCUCAUGCACGAAAGCGUGGGGAGCAAACAGG
rnacentral:rRNA from 1 species